rnacentral:misc_RNA from 1 species
AUGAUGCUUUUGACAAGUCUGUAGUUCAACUUGUCAAGAGGCUUCCUAAGAUCAGUGAUGCAGAUCUCACCAGUGGAAACAUUGAGAUCAAGCAUCCAUGUCUGAAUUCUGGUUACAAGGAGCAAUAUAUCUGUACUCACUGUUUUUCCCUAUACCAAGAAGGUGGCAAUCCUUCUAGUGGGAGAGAAGUUGCAAGUAAAGGGGGAAAG